GACGUAGGGUGCAAGCGUUAUCCGGAUUCAUUGGGCGUAAAGAGUUGCGUAGGCGGUUUGGCAAGUCGGGUGUGAAAACUCCGGGCUCAACUCGGAGACGCCACUCGAUACUGCCAUGACUCGAGUCCGGUAGGGGAGUGCGGAAUUCCUGGUGUAGCGGUGAAAUGCGCAGAUAUCAGGAGGAACACCGGUGGCGAAGGCGGCACUCUGGGCCGGUACUGACGCUGAGGAGCGAAAGCGUGGGGAGCGAACAGG
rnacentral:rRNA from 1 species